rnacentral:rRNA from 1 species
GUUAAAUGGCCGCAGUAUUUUGACUGUGCGAAGGUAGCAUAAUAAUUAGUUUUUUAAUUGAAAGCUGGAAUGAAUGAUUGGACGAGAAAAAAUCUGUCUCAAUUUUAUUUAAUUAGAAUUUUAUUUUUAAGUAAAAAAGCUUAAAUAUUUUUAAAAGACGAGAAGACCCUAUAGAGUUUUAUAUAUUUAUUUUUUAUUUAUUUUUUAGUAUUGUAGAAUUUAUAUGAUUAAAUAGUAUUUAGUUGGGGUGACUAAAAAAUUAAUUAAACUUUUUUUUUAUUAUUACAUUAAUAUAUGAUUAAUUGAUCCAUUUUUUAUGAUUAUAAGAUUAAAUUACCUUAGGGAUAACAGCGUUAUUUUUUUUUAGAGUUCGUAUCGAAAAAAAAGUUUGCGACCUCGAUGUUGGAUUAAAAUUAAUAUUUGGUGAAGAAGCUAAGUUAUUAGGUCUGUUCGACCUUUGAAAUUUUACA